rnacentral:tRNA from 2 species
GCGGAAGUAGCUCAGUGGUAGAGCAUCGCCUUGCCAAGGCGAGGGUCGCGAGUUCAAAUCUCGUCUUCCGCUCCA